UUGACCCUGAGCUACAGGUGGUGCGUCUCCGAAGUGGACGAGAAUUUGAAUGUCAUGAAGAUUAUAAGGUGUCCGGAAUUUGCUCCUCUGCCCAAAGAGCCACCCAUGGGCGCCACCACUACGCCCACAGCUCUAAGUGUACAGCCACCAGUGAACGCCACUGAAUGUGUUCCCUUCCGACACAAUGGAGAAAUUGUGAGCGGAUGCGUUGGAG